GCGCCAUGCCCUCCUUGGGCGUUUCCUCCCUAGACUCGGGCCGCUUGUGGCGACGCAGGCGGCCUCUUUUUGAUUUAUC
rnacentral:sRNA from 1 species